rnacentral:rRNA from 1 species
AUUGAACGCUGGCGGCAGGCCUAACACAUGCAAGUCGAACGAGUGGCGGACGGGUGAGUAAUGUCUGGGAAACUGCCUGAUGGAGGGGGAUAACUACUGGAAACGGUAGCUAAUACCGCAUACCAUCAGCUGAACCCAUAUGGGAUUAGCUAGUAGGUAAGGUAACGGCUUACCUAGGCGACGAUCCCUCGCUGGUCUGAGAGGAGGACCAGCCACCCGGGAACUGAGACACGGUCCAGACUCCUACGGGAGGCAGCAGUGGGGUAUAUUGGACAAUGGGCGCAAGCCUGAUCCAGCCAUGCCGCGUGUGUGAAGAAGGUCUUCUGAUUGUAAAGCACUUUAAGUUGGGAGGCGUUACCAACAGAAUAAGCACCGGCUAACUUCGUGCCAGCAGCCGCGGUAAUAC